rnacentral:rRNA from 1 species
AAAACUUUCAACAACGGAUCUCUUGGUUCUGGCAUCGAUGAAGAACGCAGCGAAAUGCGAUAAGUAAUGUGAAUUGCAGAAUUCAGUGAAUCAUCGAAUCUUUGAACGCACAUUGCGCCCGCCAGUAUUCUGGCGGGCAUGCCUGUCC